rnacentral:tRNA from 1 species
UCCUGGUUGUCUCAGUGGGUGGAGAAUGAGACUCUGGAUCUCAGAGUUGUAAGUUCGAGUCCCACAUUGGGUG